UGGCGAACGGGUGAGUAACACGUGGAUAAUCUGCCUCCGGGUUGGGGAUAACUGUCCGAAAGGAUAGCUAAUACCGAAUGAGAUGGUGGUUACAUAAGUAGCAGCCAUUAAAGGUGGGGACCGCAAGGCCUACUGUCUGGAGAUGAGUCCGCGGCUGAUUAGCUUGUUGGUGGGGUAACGGCCUACCAAGGCGACGAUCAGUAGCCGGCCUGAGAGGGUGAACGGCCACAUUGGGACUGAGAUACGGCCCAGACUCCUACGGGAGGCAGCAGUUAAGAAUCUUGCACAAUGGGCGCAAGCCUGAUGCAGCGACGCCGCGUGAAUGAUGAAGGCCUUCGGGUUGUAAAGUUCAGUAAGCAGGGAAGAAUAAGCGCCGGGUAAUAUUCGGUGUGAUGACGGUACCUGCCUAAAGCCCCGGCUAACUACGUGCCAGCAGCCGCGGUAAUACGUAUGGGGCGAGCGUUGUUCGGAAUUAUUGGGCGUAAAGGGCGUCUAGGCGGGGAUUUAAGUUAGGUGUGAAAGCUAUGGGCUCAACCCAUAAACUGCACCUAAAACUGGAUCUCUUGAGUUCGGGAGAGGAGAGCGGAAUUCCAGGUGUAGCGGUGAAAUGCGUAGAUAUCUGGAAGAACACCAGUGGCGAAGGCGGCUCUCUGGCCUAGGACUGACGCUGAAGCGCGAAAGCGUGGGGAGCGAACAGGAUUAGAUACCCUGGUAGUCCACGCUGUAAACGUUGUAUACUAGGUGUUAGCGGCUUGUCCGCUAGUGCCGCAGCAAACGCAUUAA
rnacentral:rRNA from 1 species